rnacentral:rRNA from 1 species
GACGAACGCUGGCGGCGUGCUUAACACAUGCAAGUCGAGCGGUGAAGCUCCAGCUUGCUGGAGUGGAUCAGUGGCGAACGGGUGAGUAACACGUGAGCAACCUGCCCCUGACUCUGGAAUAAGCGCUGGAAACGGCGUCUAAUACUGGAUACGAGAAGGGUCCGCAUGGGCACCUUCUGGAAAGUUUUUCGGUUGGGGAUGGGCUCGCGGCCUAUCAGCUUGUUGGUGAGGUAAUGGCUCACCAAGGCGACGACGGGUAGCCGGCCUGAGAGGGCGACCGGCCACACUGGGACUGAGACACGGCCCAGACUCCUACGGGAGGCAGCAGUGGGGAAUAUUGCACAAUGGGCGAAAGCCUGAUGCAGCGACGCCGCGUGAGGGAUGACGGCCUUCGGGUUGUAAACCUCUUUCAGCAGGGAAGAAGCGAAAGUGACGGCACCUGCAGAAGAAGCACCGGCUAACUACGUG